rnacentral:misc_RNA from 1 species
AUGAAGAACGCAGCGAAAUGCGAUAAGUAGUGUGAAUUGCAGAAUUCAGUGAAUCAUCGAAUCUUUGAACGCACAUUGCGCCCCAUGGUAUUCCGUGGGGCAUGCCUGUUCGAGCGUCAUUUACCCCCUCAAGCUCCGCUUGGUGUUGGGCGUCUGUCCCGCUUCGCGCGCGGACUCGCCCCAAAGGUAUUGGCAGCGGUCGUGCCAGCUUCUCGCGCAGCACAUUGCGCUUCUCGAGGCACCGGUGGGCCCGCGUCCAUCAAGCUCACCCCCCCAGUUUGACCUCGGAUCAGGUAGGGAUACCCGCUGAACUUAAGCAUAUCAAUAACGGAGGA